CAGUAACGGCGAGUGAAGCGGCAACAGCUCAAAUUUGAAAUCUGGCUCCUUUGGGGUCCGAAUUGUAAUUUGUAGAGAGUGCUUCGGGUGAGACCUCGGUCUAAGUCCAUUGGAACAUGGUGUCAUAGAGGGUGAGAAUCCCGUAUGCGACCGUGGCUCGAGCCCAUGUGAAGCCUCUUCGACGAGUCGAGUUGUUUGGGAAUGCAGCUCAAAACGGGUGGUAAAUUUCAUCUAAAGCUAAAUACUGGCUGGAGACCGAUAGCGCACAAGUAGAGUGAUCGAAAGAUGAAAAGCACUUUGGAAAGAGAGUCAAACAGUACGUGAAAUUGUUGAAAGGGAAGCGCUUGCAACCAGACCUGCCCGUAGGCGAUCAGCCGCUGUUCUCAGCGGUGCACUCGCUCUGCGAUCAGGCCAGCAUCGGUUUCGGCGGUCGGAUAAAGGCCUUGGGAAUGUAGCUUCCCUUCGGGGGAGUCUUAUAGCCCUCGGUGUAAUGCGGCCAGCCGGGACCGAGGACCGCGCUUCGGCUAGGAUGCUGGCGUAAUGGUUGUAAGCGACCCGUCUUGAAACACGGACCAAGGAGUCUAACAUCUAUGCGAGUGUUUGGGUGUCAAACCCAUACGCGAAAUGAAAGUGAACGGAGGUGAGAACCCUUAAGGGCGCAUCAUCGACCGAUCCAGAUGUCUUCGGAUGGAUUUGAGUAUGAGCAUAGCUGUUGGGACCCGAAAGAUGGUGAACUAUGCCUGAAUAGGGUGAAGCCAGAGGAAACUCUGGUGGAGGCUCGCAGCGGUUCUGACGUGCAAAUCGAUCGUCAAAUUUGGGUAUAGGGGCGAAAGACUAAUC
rnacentral:rRNA from 1 species